rnacentral:rRNA from 1 species
UACGCAGGGGGCAAGCGUUGUGCGGAUUUAUUGGGCGUAAAGAGCGUGUGGGCGGCUUGGUAGGUCCGAUGGGAAAACUCGAGGCUCAACCUCGAGAUGUCGGCGGAAACCACUUGGCUAGAGUCCGGAAGAGGAGAGUGGAAUUCCUGGUGUAGCGGUGAAAUGCGCAGAUAUCAGGAAGAACACCUAUGGCGAAGGCAGCUCUCUGGGACGGUACUGACGCUGAGACGCGAAAGCGUGGGGAGCGAACAGG